rnacentral:rRNA from 1 species
AUUGAACGCUGGCGGCAUGCUUUACACAUGCAAGUCGGACGAGUGGCGAACGGGUGAGUAACAUAUCGGAACGUACCGAGUAAAUGGGGAUCACUAAUCGAAAGAUUAGCUAAUACCGCAUAUUAUUCCCGCGGCCGAUAUCGGAUUAGCUGGGUGGGGGGGUAAAGGCCUACCAAGGCGACGAUCAGUAGCGGGUCUGAGAGGAUGAUCAGCCACACUGGGACUGAGACACGGCCCAGACUCCUACGGGAGGCAGCAGUGGGGAAUUUUGGACAAUGGGCGAAAGCCUGAUCCAGCCAUGCCGCGUGUCUGAAGAAGGCCUUCGGGUUGUAAAGGACUUUUGGCAGGGAGGCGGUACCUGAAGAAUAAGCACCGGCUAACUACGUGCCAGCAGCCGCGGUAAUUC